CCUACGGGGAGCAGCAGUGGGGAAUAUUGCACAAUGGGGGAAACCCUGAUGCAGCGACGCCGCGUGAGUGAAGAAGUAAUUCGUUACGUAAAGCUCUAUCAGCAGGGAAGAAAAUGACGGUACCUGAGUAAGAAGCCCCGGCUAACUACGUGCCAGCAGCCGCGGUAAUACGUAGGGGGCAAGCGUUAUCCGGAUUUACUGGGUGUAAAGGGAGCGUAGACGGAGGUGCAAGUCAGCGGUCAAAUUGCGGGGCUCAAACCCGUACUGCCGUUGAAACUGCAUCCCUUGAGUGCGCGAGAAGUAUGCGGAAUGCGUGGUGUAGCGGUGAAAUGCAUAGAUAUCACGCAGAACUCCGAUUGCGAAGGCAGCAUACCGGCGCGCAACUGACGCUCAUGCACGAAAGCGUGGGUAUCGAACAGGAUUAGAUACCCUAGUAGUC
rnacentral:rRNA from 1 species